AUAUUUUUCAUUAAUGAGAGUAUCUUUACCCUUGUUGCUACGGAAAGUUUUUGUCGCUAGGUAUUCAGGGAAAAAGAGUUGCGUCAAAAUAAGUGUUCUGCUUUAGUGAAAAACCAGCCCCUUUCUAAAAAAUAAGGUCUUUCUUUCUCACACAAGAAUACACUAAGAAACCACCCCAUUUGCUUCUUCUUCUUCUCCUCUAAUCUUCCAUUAAUUUUUCCAGAUGCGUUACUACAUCAACUCUUUUCUAAAAUACUGGUGUUUUGAGAUCUGCGUGGUUUCCAAUUUCUUCAAGGUGAAGUGCUACAAAACUCUACAUUGUUGCUGAACUUUCACGCUGUUUUGUCCUGCUUUUGAGACUGCUUUGAUUGACAGAGAAGUGAAGCGCCUAUGGGGAAGUAAGGCAGCGAGAAGGUACUGUGAUUUUAUAUGCAAAAAAAAAGAAAAGAUAAGGAUAUAGUUCAACCAGAUUUUGUUCCAAAAGAUGUGUGGGACAAUUGGAUGGAACUAUGGAAGGAUCCUAAGUGUGUCAAAAAAUCAGAAAUAAAUACAAAAUAUCGUUGUGGCGGUGGGACUGCCAUCACCAUUAGGACUCACACGGGUGACUCUGUCACCAUUGGGGAACAUCGCAAGAGACUUGCUAUUGAAAAGGGUCGAGAUCCAACACCAAGUGAGCUACACUUGCACGUCCAUACACAUGGUCAUGAUGAAAAAUCGUUUGUUAGUAAGCGAUCCCGACUUGUACAUAAAAAUGGUAUUUUGAGGACUUUUGACACAUCUAAGACCUAAGGAGGCUAAGAAGAAGUUGGAAAAGGAAGAGCACAAGGAUUCCAUCAUUCAAUCCCAACUCAAGAUAAGGAUUUGGAUUAUUUUAUGUUUUUUUCUACUUUAAAAUUAAUUAUAAUGAAUUACUCCAUAUCCAUAGAGCAAUUCUUCCUUAGGGAUUGAUGGA